rnacentral:rRNA from 1 species
UACGUAGGGUGCAAGCGUUGUCCGGAAUUAUUGGGCGUAAAGAGCUCGUAGGCGGUCUGUUGCGUCGGCUGUGAAAACCCGAGGCUCAACCUCGGGCCUGCAGCCGAUACGGGCAGACUAGAGUUCGGCAGGGGAGACUGGAAUUCCUGGUGUAGCGGUGAAAUGCGCAGAUAUCAGGAGGAACACCGGUGGCGAAGGCGGGUCUCUGGGCCGAUACUGACGCUGAGGAGCGAAAGCGUGGGGAGCGAACGGG